rnacentral:rRNA from 1 species
UACGUAGGGGGCAAGCGUUGUCCGGAUUUACUGGGCGUAAAGAGCGUGUAGGCGGCCAUGCAGGUCCGUUGUGAAAACUGGAGGCUUAACCUCCAGACGUCGACGGAAACCGCGUGGCUAGAGUCCGGAAGAGGAGAGUGGAGUUCCUGGUGUAGCGGUGAAAUGCGCAGAUAUCAGGAAGAACACCAAUGGCGAAGGCAGCUCUCUGGGACGGUACUGACGCUGAGACGCGAAAGCGUGGGGAGCGAACAGG